rnacentral:rRNA from 1 species
GCAGCAGUGGGGAAUAUUGCACAAUGGGGGAAACCCUGAUGCAGCGACGCCGCGUGAGUGAAGAAGUAUUUCGGUAUGUAAAGCUCUAUCAGCAGGGAAGAAAUACUGACCAUAGGGUCAGCAGACGGUACUUGACUAAGAAGCCCCGGCUAACUACGUGCCAGCAGCCGCGGUAAUACGUAGGGGGCAAGCGUUAUCCGGAUUUACUGGGUGUAAAGGGAGCGUAGACGGCAGCGCAAGUCUGAAGUGAAAUGCCAGGGCUUAACCCUGGAACUGCUUUGGAAACUGUGCAGCUAGAGUGCAGGAGAGGUAAGUGGAAUUUCUAGUGUAGCGGUGAAAUGCGUAGAUAUUAGGAGGAACACCAGUGGCGAAGGCGGCUUACUGGACUGUAACUGACGUUGAGGCUCGAAAGCGUGGGGAGCAAACAGGAUUAGAUACCCUGGUAGUCCACGCUGUAAACGAUGAUUACUAGGUGUUGGGGGACCAAGGUUCUUCG